rnacentral:rRNA from 1 species
GCGAACGGGGAGGAGCCCAGAGCCUGAAUCAGCAUGUGUGUUAGUGGAAGCGUCUGGAAAGGCGCGCGAUACAGGGUGACAGCCCCGUACACAAAAGCGCAUAUGCUGUGAGCUCGAUGAGUAGGGCGGGACACGUGGUAUCCUGUCUGAAUAUGGGGGGACCAUCCUCCAAGGCUAAAUACUCCUGACUGACCGAUAGUGAACCAGUACCGUGAGGGAAAGGCGAAAAGAACCCCGGCGAGGGGAGUGAAACAGAACCUGAAACCGUGUACGUACAAGCAG